rnacentral:tRNA from 1 species
GGUUAAAUGGCUGAAUUGUUAGGUAAUAGAUUGUAAAUCUAUUUAUGAGAGAUAUCUCUUUAACCA